rnacentral:rRNA from 1 species
CCUACGGGUGGCAGCAGUGGGGAAUAUUGGGCAAUGGAGGAAACUCUGACCCAGCAACGCCGCGUGAAUGAUGAAGGUCUUCGGAUUGUAAAGUUCUUUUCUCAGGGAAGAAGAAAGUGACGGUACCUUCGGAAUAAGCCUCGGCUAACUACGGGCCAGCAGCCGCGGUAAUACGUAGGAGGCAAGCGUUAUGCGGAAUGACUGGGCGUAAAGGGGGCGUAGGUGGUUUGACAAGUUGGUAGCGUAACUCCGGGGCUCAACCUCGGCACUACUACAAAAACUGUCGGACUUGAGUGCGGGAGAGGCAAGUGGAAUGCGUAGUGUAGCGGUGAAAUGCAUAGAUAUCAGGAAGAACACCAGUGGCGAAGG